GGGUAUUUAGCUGUUAACUAAAAUUUCGUGGGAU
rnacentral:tRNA from 1 species